AUUGAACGCUGGCGGCAUGCCUAACACAUGCAAGUCGAACGGGGCAGCAAUGCCUAGCGGCAGACGGGUGAGUAACGCGUGGGAACGUACCCUUUGCUACGGAAUAGCUCCGGGAAACUGGAAUUAAUACCGUAUGUGCCCUACGGGGGAAAGAUUUAUCGGCAAAGGAUCGGCCCGCGUUGGAUUAGCUAGUUGGUGGGGUAAUGGCCUACCAAGGCGACGAUCCAUAGCUGGUCUGAGAGGAUGAUCAGCCACAUUGGGACUGAGACACGGCCCAAACUCCUACGGGAGGCAGCAGUGGGGAAUAUUGGACAAUGGGCGCAAGCCUGAUCCAGCAAUGCCGCGUGGGUGAAGAGGGUCUUCGGAUCGUAAAGCCCUUUCGACAGGGACGAUGAUGACGGUACCUGUAGAAGAAGCCCCGGCUAACUUCGUGCCAGCCGCCGCGGUAAAAC
rnacentral:rRNA from 1 species